CUCAAUUUGCCCCCGGAGGAGGCAGGGCGGCCGUGCCUUCUGCCGUGCGCCCGCGUGGCUGCCACCGCCCCUCCGAAUCCUCCGGGGCCGCAGAGGGGUUCGCUACGGAGGGAGGCGGGGGCCUUCGGGAGGAGGAGGCGGAGGAGGCGGAGGAGGAGGGAAGGAAGAUGGCGGCCGUGGAACUAGAGUGGAUCCCAGAGACUCUCUAUAACACCGCCAUCUCCGCUGUCGUGGACAACUACAUCCGCUCCCGCCGAGACAUCCGCUCCUUGCCCGAGAACAUCCAGUUUGAUGUUUACUACAAGCUUUACCAACAGGGGCGCUUAUGUCAACUGGGCAGUGAAUUUUGUGAAUUGGAAGUUUUUGCUAAAGUACUGAGAGCUUUGGAUAAAAGACAUUUGCUUCAUCAUUGUUUUCAGGCUUUGAUGGAUCAUGGUGUUAAAGUUGCUUCAGUCUUGGCCUACUCAUUCAGUAGGCGGUGCUCUUAUAUAGCAGAAUCAGAUGCUGCAGUAAAGGAAAAAGCCAUUCAGGUUGGCUUUGUUUUAGGUGGCUUUCUUUCAGAUGCAGGCUGGUACAGUGAUGCUGAGAAAGUUUUUCUGUCCUGCCUUCAGUUGUGUACUCUACAUGAUGAGAUGCUUCAUUGGUUUCGUGCAGUAGAAUGUUGUGUGAGGAAUAGGAGACUACACUAUCCCAUAUGGGAUUUGGGAGAUUGUUAUUUCAGGAGAAUACUUACAGUGAAGGUCUUUGGGAAGGAAAUUCUUAGCAUUGUGGAAAUGAGAAGUUGCUUCAUGUGCGAAAUGGAAACUGCAAAUAUCAUUUGGGUGAAGAAACAUUUAAAUUAGCUCAGACAUAUAUGGAUAAACUAUCAAAACAUGGCCAGCAAGCAAAU
rnacentral:sRNA from 1 species